GCCUCUGUAGCUCAGUUGGAUAGAGCGCUGCACCGGAAUCGCAGGGCCGUAGGUUCAAUUCCUACCAGAGGAC
rnacentral:tRNA from 1 species